rnacentral:rRNA from 1 species
GUGCACCAGGCGAGAAACCUCCGCAAUGCACGCAAGUGCGACGGGGGAACCCCAAGUGCCACUCUUAACGGGGUGGCUUUUCAGAAGUGUAAAAAGCUUCUGGAAUAAGGGCUGGGCAAGACCGGUGCCAGCCGCCGCGGUAACACCGGCAGCUCAAGUGGUAGCCGCUUUUAUUGGGCCUAAAGCGUCCGUAGCCGGUCUGAUAAGUCUCUGGUGAAAUCCCACAGCUUAACUGUGGGAAUUGCUGGAGAUACUAUCAUGACUCGAGGUCGGGAGAGGCUGGAGGUACUCCCAGGGUAGGGGUGAAAUCCUGUAAUCCUGGGAGGACCACCUGUGGCGAAGGCGUCCAGCUGGAACGAACCUGACGGUGAGGGACGAAAGCCAGGGGCGCGAACCGGAUUAGAUACCCCCGUAGUCC